rnacentral:rRNA from 1 species
UACGUAGGGGGCUAGCGUUGUUCGGAAUUACUGGGCGUAAAGCGCACGUAGGCGGCUUUGUAAGUUAGAGGUGAAAGCCCAGGGCUUAACCCUGGAAUUGCCUUUAAGACUGCAUCGCUAGAAUCGUGGAGAGGUGAGUGGAAUUCCGAGUGUAGAGGUGAAAUUCGUAGAUAUUCGGAAGAACACCAGUGGCGAAGGCGACUCACUGGACACGUAUUGACGCUGAGGUGCGAAAGCG